AUACAUACAAAUGUCUUCUUUUAGAGAACCACUUAAUGGAAUGAAACCAAACAUGGCAUGAAUGUUUCUUUUGAGGUGCUGACCAAGUGUUGUUACUUUGAAGCUGAUCCAUCAUCCAAGAUGGCCGCCAGCGGGGGACUUAUUUUAACAUAGGACCCUAU